rnacentral:lncRNA from 1 species
GUGCAGCCAAGGCUGCCCACAGGGACUCCAGCUCCACUUUAUAUUCAUGUUCGAGAACUUGUCGAUAGAAAUGAUGAAAGUGCUGAAGUUGAUUACAGUGUUGGAAAAAACAAAAGCAACAACAACAACAAAAAACCCUAACGUGUUCACCAAAGAUCAGUGGAAGAAUGUUUGCAUGAAACAAAUCAGUUGCCUGUUUUCCCCACCUGUGCCACUUGGAGAAAUAGAUCAAAGUCAUCUCAGCUCCCUCCAUCUGGAAGGAGUGGAACUGAUGGAUGCAGUCCACGGAUUCUGGGAAUCUUUCGUCUAUCUGGUGAUGUGAAUGAUGACGUGGGCCCUGGCUGAACUUGAAAUCAUGAUUCUCUUCUCUGGACUCCUGUAUUGUUCCAGUUUCCAGCACACAAGACUUACUGGUGAUGGCUUCUACUACCCCAGGGCAGCUGGAGGAAGAGCAGAGCCCCCGCCCCGGCUGUGUGAUGGCAGCAAGGAGAGGCAGAGACAGCCAGGGGCAGGCGACGCCCUGCCCCUCCGCGUUCCUAGGAGGCCUGGCAGACACUCGGAGCUACAGCUGGAUAGAGUGGGGGUGCCAAGCUUCUGGAAAACUUUAGCUUGUUAUUGUGAAGCCUUGUGAAGCAGAGUGUCCUGGAGUUCCAGUCUUUCCUCCUGCACACUACUCUACCUGAGGGGCUCACCAUGCCCUGCAAGGAAGGGGCCAGCUCACGACCAGCAGGAACCAGCCAGGCUCCAGCCAGCAGCUCCCCAAGGAAGCUUCUAGCAUUGUUAGCCAACUUGCGUGCUUCCCAGGCCUUCCGCGGCUGGGCACCGUUUCCAGACCAUAUCUUGCCAGCUGGAGAAGCCGAGUCCAGCUCCCGCUGCCAGAGAGCUUUCAGUGGCCAAGUGGAAAAGCUGUUCUCCUCCCCUGGGGAAGAAGUCCCAAGUGAAAUUUGAGAACCUUUGGGAUGCAUAUCAACAGGACCUUUCUCCAUGUUUCUGUGCUCAGGGCCCUGGGAGCCACUCGGGGGGCACAAAAGCCUGGAGGACCACCCCACCCCUCCCCAGGCAAUGUGGGAUCACGAGCUCUUUGAGGCAGGGGGGUGCAGUUCUCUCUGCCUCCAGUGCCUCAGACACAGCAGAUCUGUUUCAUGUUAGGAGAAAGAUUUUGAGCAUUAUCCUGCCAGGUGGAAUUGUUUUUACAUCCAUCCUGAAACUGACGAUUUUUGUCUCUGAAAUGACCUAGGCUGUAAUCAGAAGGUGUCAGGGCCACAAGUCCCUGUAUCCCAACCUUCCACUCUGCAUAUGGGGAGUCGAGGCCCAGAGAAGCACAUGCCUGGGUGAGGGUCACCCAGCAGUUAAGGUUGGAGGAGUGCCCACACCCAGAGUGCCUCCCAUCCCCCAGGCACCGCCCUGCUCAGUGCCGGCCACAUUCCUCUCCUAGCUCAUGGCCCGAAGUUCAGGUUCGUGAAGCCCCAGGAUGGCUUGGGGCUUCUUAGCAGCAAAGAACAAGUCAGUUUUGGUUUUGCUGAACAGAUGGAGGCUCGAGAGCUGGGGCCUGGCUUUCCCUGAGGACCACAAGACACUCCUGUCCCCAGCAUCCCCUUCUUUCUCUCACAAAGAGCAUGAAAACAGACACU